rnacentral:rRNA from 1 species
GGGUGAGUAACGCGUGGGUAACCUGCCUCAUACAGCGGGAUAACAGUUAGAAAUGACUGCUAAUACCGCAUAAGACCACAGCACCGCAUGGUGCAGGGGUAAAAACUCCGGUGGUAUGAGAUGGACCCGCGUCUGAUUAGGUAGUUGGUGGGGUAACGGCCUACCAAGCCGACGAUCAGUAGCCGACCUGAGAGGGUGACCGGCCACAUUGGGACUGAGACACGGCCCAGACUCCUACGGGAGGCAGCAGUGGGGGAUAUUGCGCAAUGGGGGCAACCCUGACGCAGCAACGCCGCGUGAAGGAUGAAGGUUUUCGGAUUGUAAACUUCUUUUAUUAAGGACGAAAAAUGACGGUACUUAAUGAAUAAGCUCCGGCUAACUACGUGCCAGCAGCCGCGGUAAUACGUAGGGAGCAAGCGUUGUCCGGAUUUACUGGGUGUAAAGGGUGCGUAGGCGGCUUUGCAAGUCAGAUGUGAAAUCUAUGGGCUCAACCCAUAAACUGCAUUUGAAACUGUAGAGCUUGAGCGAAGUAGAGGCAGGCGGAAUUCCCCGUGUAGCGGUGAAAUGCGUAGAGAUGGGGAGGAACACCAGUGGCGAAGGCGGCCUGCUGGGCUUUAACUGACGCUGAGGCAC